CCACCCCACUUCGCUAGAUCCUUUCUGGGCUUCACAAUGGAGGGGAGCAAAAGGGCCUGUGCAAAGCCAAACGUUAUGAUGGGAUGCAGCUACCGUCCAACCCUCCCUAAAGCUGUUAACUGGUCUAGACUGAGGUGCUGGAAUGUGAAGGUGAAGAAGGGAGCCGGUACAGCAGCAUGCAAGCAUCCUCAUACUGAGUCUCCAAGUGUGCCACAAACUUGUUCUGGAGAGACCAUCCCUAAAUUUAAUCUAGUUUAAUCUCUAUGACCAUUCAGUUCUUGUCUUCUAUGGCUUCUACUAUCAAUAAAGCAUAAUUUGGCACAAUUUGUGAUAAUGUUUUUGUUGAUGUUUUUAAAUAACCAGAGCUACUGCUAGAAAAUUUGGCUAGUGCUACAAAAGUCAUUGGGGAAGGU